UCGGUGCGUAUCGGCAUGUUGUAUCCUGCUNGAGCAGCGACAACAUCUUGUGCGCACCUCUUCAUUCGUUGGCUCAAUGUUUUGGCCGAUGUCGGUUUCCUGUGUUGUAUACCUAUCGCGAAGGUAUUGCAUCGGCUCACACGUCCCGUUUCCRUCUUGUACUGCGUGCCCUUGUGGGUUUGUGGCAUGGGGUGGACCUUGAAGCAUGCGUCGUGUUCCACAUCUCAUACGCUCUGAAAUGUGUUUUGGGUUGUGGCCCAUGCCGUUGUGCUUGAUCUCGUGGGUGCAGAAAAUUCGGUGGGCAUGAGGAUCCCGUCCUCUAUUUGCCCAGAAAUAAGUAUUUUAUGAACGACGUCCGACCUCGUUUUGAAGCAGUCCUAGUGGCUUGACUCAUGCGGUGUCGGUGUCGGUGAGGAA
rnacentral:misc_RNA from 1 species